AAAAGGGAGCCGCGCAGCGCCUACGGGAGUCCGGCUGCAGCAGCCGGUACCGGCAACCACGGGCAGCUCUCAGGGAAUCUCCGUCGUGAGGCCAGAGGCUCCAGUCCCCGCGAGUCCAGAUGCCUGUCCAGCCUCCAAGCAAAGACACAGAAGAGAUGGAAGCAGAGGGUGAUUCUGCUGCUGAGAUGAAUGGGGAGGAGGAAGAGAGUGAGGAGGAGCGGAGCGGCAGCCAGACAGAGUCAGAAGAGGAGAGCUCCGAGAUGGAUGAUGAGGACUAUGAGCGACGCCGCAGCGAGUGUGUCAGUGAGAUGCUGGACCUAGAGAAGCAGUUCUCGGAGCUAAAGGAGAAGUUGUUCAGGGAACGACUGAGUCAGCUGCGGUUGCGGCUGGAGGAAGUGGGGGCUGAGAGAGCCCCUGAAUACACGGAGCCCCUUGGGGGGCUGCAGCGGAGCCUCAAGAUUCGCAUUCAGGUGGCAGGGAUCUACAAGGGCUUCUGUCUGGAUGUGAUCAGGAAUAAGUACGAAUGUGAGCUGCAGGGAGCCAAACAGCACCUGGAGGUGGGCCUGAUUGGCCACACUGGGGGCGAGGCAGGGCACAAAGCCUGAAGUGGCCUCACCCCAUCCGUCCUGCUGAACUGUUGCCCCCUCUUCCAGAGUGAGAAGCUGCUGCUCUAUGACACGCUGCAGGGGGAGCUGCAGGAGCGGAUCCAGAGGCUGGAGGAGGACCGCCAGAGCCUGGACCUCAGCUCUG
rnacentral:sRNA from 1 species